rnacentral:rRNA from 1 species
GAUGAACGCUGGCGGCGUGCCUAAUACAUGCAAGUCGAGCGAACGGACGAGAAGCUUGCUUCUCUGAUGUUAGCGGCGGACGGGUGAGUAACACGUGGAUAACCUACCUAUAAGACUGGGAUAACUUCGGGAAACCGGAGCUAAUACCGGAUGAUAUUUUGAACCGCAUGGUUCAAAAGUGAAAGACGGUCUUGCUGUCACUUAUAGAUGGAUCCGCGCUGCAUUAGCUAGUUGGUAAGGUAACGGCUUACCAAGGCAACGAUGCAUAGCCGACCUGAGAGGGUGAUCGGCCACACUGGAACUGAGACACGGUCCAGACUCCUACGGGAGGCCGCAGUAGGGAAUCUUCCGCAAUGGGCGAAAGCCUGACGGAGCAACGCCGCGUGAGUGAUGAAGGUCUUCGGAUCGUAAAACUCUGUUAUUAGGGAAGAACAUAUGUGUAAGUAACUGUGCACAUCUUGACGGUACCUAAUCAGAAAGCCACGGCUAACUACGUG